CUGUUGGUGGAGGUGAUGAUGCCUUUAACACAUUCUUCAGUGAAACUGGAGCUGGCAAGCAUGUGCCUCGUGCUGUGUUUGUUGAUCUCGAGCCCACAGUGAUUGAUGAAGUGAGGACUGGUACCUACCGCCAGCUCUUCCACCCUGAGCAACUCAUUAGCGGCAAGGAAGAUGCUGCCAACAACUUUGCCCGUGGUCACUACACCAUUGGCAAGGAGAUUGUUGAUCUCUGCUUGGACCGCAUCCGGAAACUUGCUGACAACUGCACUGGGCUUCAAGGUUUCCUUGUUUUCAAUGCUGUUGGUGGAGGGACUGGCUCUGGUCUUGGUUCGCUUCUUUUGGAACGUCUGUCUGUUGAUUAUGGAAAGAAGUCAAAGCUUGGGUUCACUGUGUAUCCAUCUCCACAGGUCUCUACAUCUGUGGUUGAGCCCUACAACAGUGUCCUCUCAACCCACUCCCUCCUGGAACACACCGAUGUUGCAGUGCUCCUUGACAACGAGGCUAUCUACGAUAUCUGCAGGCGCUCUCUUGACAUUGAGCGACCCACCUACACCAACCUCAACCGUCUUGUGUCUCAGGUACAGAACUAUCUGGUUUAUGGUUUCGAGUACAGAAUUUAGAUCACAUUGUUUUUUACGAAGUGAUUGUUACUAAAUUUUGUUUCUAUUUGGUUUUCAGGUCAUUUCCUCCUUGACUGCUUCUCUGAGGUUCGAUGGUGCCCUUAAUGUGGAUGUGACUGAAUUCCAGACCAACUUGGUUCCAUACCCCAGAAUCCACUUUAUGCUUUCCUCAUAUGCACCUGUCAUCUCUGCGGAGAAGGCGUACCAUGAGCAACUCUCAGUGGCUGAAAUCACCAACAGUGCCUUUGAGCCCUCAUCCAUGAUGGCAAAGUGUGACCCCCG
rnacentral:lncRNA from 1 species